CUUGUACACACGCCCGUCACACCAUGGGAGCGGGUUCUGCCAGAAGUAGUUAGCCUAACCGCAAGGAGGGCGAUUACCACGGCAGGGUUCGUGACUGGGGUG
rnacentral:rRNA from 1 species